AGAGUUUGAUCCUGGCUCAGGACGAACGCUGGCGGCGUGCCUAACACAUGCAAGUGGAGCGACGAACCGGGCUUCGGCCCGGGGCAAAGCCGCGAACGGGUGAGUAACACGUGGGUAACCUGCCCCGAUGAUUGGGACAACCCGAGGAAACUCGGGCUAAUACCGAAUGUGCCCUAUGGCCUCAAGGUCUGUGGGGAAAGGAAGCUUCGGCCUCCGCAUCGGGAUGGGCCCGCGGCCCAUUAGCUUGUUGGUGAGGUAACGGCUCACCAAGGCAACGAUGGGUAGCUGGUCUGAGAGGACGAUCAGCCACACUGGGACUGAGACACGGCCCAGACUCCUACGGGAGGCAGCAGUGGGGAAUCUUGCGCAAUGCGCGAAAGCGUGACGCAGCAACGCCGCGUGGGGGAAGACGGCCUUCGGGUUGUAAACCCCUUU
rnacentral:rRNA from 1 species